rnacentral:misc_RNA from 1 species
GCUACACUGUAGGCGGGUAAGGAGUGUCACCCUAUUGCUACACCAGGACAGAAUGUGUAUUCCUAAUGACAUUGACUUGAGACAGCUCAUUUUGAAGGAAAUACAUGAAUCUCCUUUUGCUAUGCACCCUGAUGGCACAAAAAUGUAUAGACGGCUAAAAGAGCACUACUGAUGGAUGGGUAUGAAAAGAAAUGUAGCAGAAUUU